UAGGGAAUCUUCCACAAUGGGCGCAAGCCUGAUGGAGCAACACCGCGUGAGUGAAGAAGGGUUUCGGCUCGUAAAGCUCUGUUGUUAAAGAAGAACACGUAUGAGAGUAACUGUUCAUACGUUGACGGUAUUUAACCAGAAAGUCACAGCUAACUACGUGUCAG
rnacentral:rRNA from 1 species